rnacentral:rRNA from 1 species
UACGUAGGUGGCAAGCGUUGUCCGGAUUUAUUGGGUUUAAAGGGUGCGUAGGCGGUCCUAUAAGUCAGUGCUGAAAUAUCCCGGCUUAACCGGGAGGGUGGCAUUGAUACUGCAGGACUUGAGUAAAGUUGAGGUAGGCGGAAUUGACGGUGUAGCGGUGAAAUGCUUAGAUAUCGUCAAGAACACCGAUAGUGAAGACAGCUUACUAAACUUUAACUGACGCUGAGGCACGAAAGCUAGGGGAGCAAACGGG